rnacentral:SRP_RNA from 1 species
CCGUGCUAGAUGGGGAAUUAGCGGUGCCCUAUGACCUGCAAUCCGCUAUAGCAGGAUCGAUGCUAUCGCCAGGCUAUUGCCGACCUAUUUGAUAGUAAUAAGUGGUGUUGAGAUUCUGGACUGUUGCAAUAGAUGAUAGACGAACCCCGUCAGGCCUGGAAGGGAGCAGCGGUAAAUCUUCUCAUCUAUGUGCUGACAGAGACCAGAGUGGAACUGGCUGUUGCUCUUUGAAUUUGUAGCGGAAUGGUCGAACGCUAGUGCACGG